rnacentral:pre_miRNA from 1 species
CCCUUUUGAUUGAUUUGUCUUUUUCCGCUUACUGCCGGUGGUGUUCGAAAGUCCCGACAGCAAACAGAAAAAGGCGCCUCAAUCAAUUACAG